rnacentral:rRNA from 1 species
UGGGGAAUCUUGGACAAUGGGCGAAAGCCUGACCCAGCAACGCCGCGUGAAGGAUGAGGUAUUUCGGUAUGUAAACUUCGAAAGAAUAGGAAGAAUAAAUGACGGUACUAUUUAUAAGGUCCGGCUAACUACGUGCCAGCAGCCGCGGUAAUACGUAGGGACCAAGCGUUGUUCGGAUUUACUGGGCGUAAAGGGCGCGUAGGCGGCAAUUCAAGUCAUCUGUGAAAUCUCCGGGCUUAACUCGGAACGGUCAGAUGAUACUGCUUUGCUAGAGUGCAGAAGGGGCAAUCGGAAUUCUUGGUGUAGCGGUGAAAUGCGUAGAUAUCAAGAGGAACACCUGAGGUGAAGACGGGUUGCUGGGCUGACACUGACGCUGAGGCGCGAAAGCCAGGGGAGCAAACGGGAUUAGAUACCCCUGUAGUCCCUGAGCGGGCUGGCAAGGCGCAU